UACGGGGGGGGCAAGCGUUGUUCGGAAUUACUGGGCGUAAAGGGCGCGUAGGCGGCGCAACAAGUCACUUGUGAAAUCUCCGGGCUUAACUCGGAAAGGUCAAGCGAUACUGUUGUGCUAGAGUGCGGAAGGGGCAACUGGAAUUCUCGGUGUAGCGGUGAAAUGCGUAGAUAUCGAGAGGAACACCUGCGGCGAAGGCGGGUUGCUGGGCCGACACUGACGCUGAUGCGCGAAAGCCAGGGGAGCGAACGGG
rnacentral:rRNA from 1 species